rnacentral:lncRNA from 1 species
GCUUCCCAGGAAUCCGACCCCACCCUUGGCCUCGCGCCUCUCUGCCUCAUGCUGGUGCUCUUCUUCCUUUCCAUCCAAUCUGGGCUCUCCCUCUCGGCUGCCUUCGCACCGUGCUGUGGAAGCCAUGGCCCCCGCUCCCCGGGAAAACGCAAGGGAGAUGGCUCCUUGGGGACUGCGCAGAGAAGAGUGAAGGGAAAGAUGGUGUCAGAACUUCCUGGGUCCCUCUGUCUAAAACCUCUCAAUAAAACCUCAUUCCACCCUUAUCUCCAACAAUCUUUCCCCCUUCAAAUCCACUCUUGCUUUUGUAUUUACUUUGUAA